UGUUGAUGAAAACAACCGAACUUAGCUUCCUUCUCUUACAACAUCUGUAGUACUCCGUGAGAGAAAUCGAGAGGGAUUCAAGAGAAAAACCAGAAUCAGGUGAACUUAUAUCAGAUUUCUGAGUUCAAUACAUAGAAAGCAAAGUGAUGGUCAUGAACUCGUGGAUCACUUAGUUCCAGGGAGAUCUGAAAGUAUUUGAAAAGAGGUUUCUUUUCUCUCGACCCGAAUUUGAAAUUAAAGGAUUUACUGUUUGACUAGGUGUCUUUAAGUUCAGUUGGAGGAUUACGAAGAUUGAGGUUUGAGUAGCGGAUUGAGUGGCAGGUGACCUUGAGAUAAGUGGCGCAGACUCGGCCGAAGGAGAGGUUGUUGUUUGGGUUGAGUAGGGUGUCUGGUUGUGUAUAGAGAGGUAACUGCCGGUAUCUUUUUGUAGGCAGUACUGUGGUUGUGGUCAGUAAGGGUGGUGUAUUUCUUGCUUGUAACUAUUGUAAAUUAUGUUUAAUUAACUAUCACAAACACACAGUAUGUAAAUUAGUUAGUAAUGUUAUGAAUAUAGCCAAGUUUGGGUCUAGGCCUGUUUACACUUGUGCUGAAGGUUUCACUUUAAA